GCCUCCUCAACGCUACCACUGAUGCCCGGCUGAACUCUUCCCCUCAGAAACCACUGGACCUGAAGCAGCUGAAGCAGAGAGCUGCUGCCAUCCCCCCCAUCAUUUCCGAGGGAUUCCUAGACGGGACGUCACAGAGUGGAAGCAUGAAGCCCCAGGUGCCUCACCAUGCCUUGGCCCUCUACCAGCAGCAGAUCACUAAAGCCCAUGAAUCUGCCCGAGAGGAUGUGGCCCCAAGCAAGCAGCAGCAGCCAGAGCAGGAGCAGCAGCCAAGCAGUAGCCCCAGAGGACAGAGCAGGAGCCCGGUUGUUGGUGACAAGGAAG